rnacentral:rRNA from 1 species
GUCGAGGGGUAACAUUGUGCUUGCACAGAUGACGACCGGCGCACGGGUGCGUAACGCGUAUAGAACCUACCUUUUACAGAGGAAUAGCCUUUAGAAAUGAAGAUUAAUGCCUCAUGGUAUUGUAGACUGGCAUCAGUUUAUAAUUAAAGAUUUAUCGGUACAAGAUGACUAUGCGUCCUAUUAGUUUGUUGGUGAGGUAACGGCUCACCAAGACUUCGAUAGGUAGGGGCCCUGAGAGGGGGAUCCCCCACACUGGUACUGAGACACGGACCAGACUCCUACGGGAGGCAGCAGUGAGGAAUAUUGGACAAUGGAGGCAACUCUGAUCCAGCCAUGCCGCGUGCAGGAUGACGGCCCUAUGGGUUGUAAACUGCUUUUAUGUAGGAAGAAACACUCUCACGUGUGAGAGCUUGACGGUAC